rnacentral:rRNA from 1 species
UACGAAGGGGGCUAGCGUUGUUCGGAAUUACUGGGCGUAAAGCGCACGUAGGCGGACUACUAAGUCAGGGGUGAAAUCCCGGGGCUCAACCCCGGAACUGCCUUUGAUACUGAUAGUCUCGAGUCCGGAAGAGGUGAGUGGAAUUCCGAGUGUAGAGGUGAAAUUCGUAGAUAUUCGGAGGAACACCAGUGGCGAAGGCGGCUCACUGGCCCGGUACUGACGCUGAGGCACGAAAGCGUGGGGAGCAAACAGG